AGACUGGGUGCUGGGCCCUGGGCUGGAGAGGGAGACAGCGAUGGGAACCAGCACCAGGGAGAAAGUUUGCCUUAGGUUAGAGUGGGAGGAACGGGGGAGAGGGAAGCCUGUGAGAGGGACAGAGUGGAAAUUGGAGAGGAAAGGUCUGAUGGAAGUCAGAACAGAGAAGGACAAGGGAUGGUAGAAACAGGGUCAGAAGUGGGCAGAGAGCAAGCAGAAGGGUAAAGACAGGAUAAAGUGAGAAAGAAGCGAGUCAAAGGGGUAGAGGGAGGAAACGUCCAAGCAGGACCAGGAGCGAAAGUCGAGGAGAGCCCGAGAGCGUCAGCGUGUGGAGAAGGAGCUGGAGAGGGAGCGCCCCAUCUCGGCUCCCGGCGCGGAGCUGGAGCCCGGGCGGCAGGAGCCGGGGAAGGGCGCCCGAGGCAGCGCCCGGCGAGCGGAGAUGGAGCGGGUGGGCUGAGGUAUCCAGACCCACCUCAUUCUCAGCGAGCGCACAUCUGGCGACAGAUGCAGAGCAGGCCAGAGUGCCUGGAUGCUGUGAGAGAAUAGUGUGGCUCCAUGUGUCCCACACACAGAGCUCUGAGAACUGCAGCUGUGACAAAAGAGAAGUCCUUUAAAGAAUCCCUGUUCCCCGAGGCUCCAGAGCUCCCACUGCUCUUGAUGAGGAAACUGAGGUCCCCAAACCUGCCCAGAGUCACACGGCUGGUCAUCAGUGGAGCCAGGAUCUGAAACAAGGCAGUGUGGCUCCAGAGCCUGCCAUGUGCCUGACGGAGCUCACGCUCAGCAGGUGCCUACUUCUGUGCCUGGCAUGUGGUAGCGAUGGUGACUCCUGAAAGGGCAUGAGAGGAAUCAUUCGUUCCUUCAUGCAUCGCAUGUGUGUGGAACAUCGCCAAAGGCAAGGGAAGCAAGGGCAAAAAUGAACUAUUGGGA